rnacentral:rRNA from 1 species
UACGUAGGGACCAAGCGUUGUCCGGAAUCAUUGGGCGUAAAGAGCGCGUAGGCGGCUCGGUAAGUGUGAAGUGAAAUCUCUAGGGCUCAACCCAGAAACUGCUUUACAUACUGCCAAGCUGGAGUGAUGAAGAGGUUUGUGGAAUUCCUGGUGUAGCGGUGAAAUGCGUUGAUAUCAGGAGGAACACCCAUGGCGAAGGCAGCAAACUGGUCAUCAACUGACGCUGAGGCGGCGAAAGCGUGGGUAGCAAACAGG